GAGGAGUAUGUGAGACCUCAGAAGAUGAAUUCGUCCUGGAAAUGGUAUAUAUAGAUUCACAGUCUCUCUCAGAGGCUACACCCUCUGAAGCUGGGGUCCUGCUAAAGAGAAGGAGAGAGAACAUGAAGGGGAGGGAAUGAAAACAGUGACGCCCCUUUAGUACUAGGUUCUUUUCAAACGUUUCAUUGCAUGUACUUAGGAGUAUUUGCAAGAAACUGAGGAGUAAUUUCUCCCACACUCUGCUUUUCAUAGAUUUGUUUUGAUUUCUUACCUCUUCCUUUUCCUAGAGCUGAGUGUAACAUUAAGACAGUUUCACUCCUGCUGUCAUUCCCCUUGUCAUUGAAAAGACAUUUAAUACAAAUUUGCAGAUACCAUCCAAGGAGACCAUAGGCAGACACACACACACAUACACAUACACACACACACACACACACACACACACACACACACAGUUCUCUGCUAUUCUGUCUUCUGGGACAGCUAACAUAAGGCAGACAAACUUAUGCAUAUGGAAAAUUAAAACAUUAAGCCACAAACCUGAAGGACGGCAGGAAGGCAUACUGGCUAAUGGAGUGGGCUCUAACAAAAGUCGACCUGCACUGGAAUCUACUCUGCUGCUUCCCAGUUACGUGAUCUUGGGCAAGUGAAUUAACAUUGCUAAACCUCAGUUUCCUUAUCUGUGAAAUGAGGAUGAUAACGUUCCUUUCUCCUAGAGUGGAUAUGAGAAUUACAUAAACUAAUGCAAGAAAAGCCAGACCCUGGGACACAGAAAUCAUAGUAGCAGCAGCAGUAGUUUAAGUUACUAGAUAUUGAUUUUAGGGUUUGGGGAAGUUUAUCAUUAGAAGAAAAAAAAAAUACAAACAUUCACGAUGAGAAUUCUACAGAGGUCCAGCCCUAGCUUGCCUUUCCUCCAUGCAGGGCCGCUCCCACAUGCACCUCCCUGGAUCCCCCCACCACGACCCCAUACGAAGCUCUAAAGCCAAUUCUGUCCUUGUCAGCCACCUCUUUCCCUCUCCCAUCAGAUAACCUGUCCCCUUACUUCUGUGGAAAAAGAAUCUCUACACAACUUCACUCUCUCCAGGCCCCAGAGGAAAAGCACCCUGGCCGCUGCUCCAGGGCCCACUGUCUGCUCUGUCAGGGCAGGGUGGAGAGGGAGUUCCUCAAACACAAAUGACAAGUGUCAUUCUCCAUCUGGAUCCCCUACCCCAGGCUCCUGGCACCUCUGGCCCGUCCCACUAGAGCCCGCCUCGCAGCCUUCUGAGUAGGGUGAGUGUUGACCUGAUGUUCUCUGUGGCCCAGGGAAGGAGCAAAUAUUGAAGGAGAGGUCCAGCUGUGUUGGGUCAGGGCUUAGGCUGAUUUUAGCCAGUCACCCAAGCACAGCCAUCAGAGUACUAAAGCCCUUCUGUAACUGUUGGGAAUCCCCUGGAACCCUCACACCUCUCCAUGAUCGAAAGCAGUGAAGCCUAGCAUAGCAGGGGCCUCCUGGCCCAGUCCUGGCGCUCAGUCUGAUUAGUGGCUCGUCAAACAUUCUUUUUUUUUUUUUUUUUCUGAGACAGAGUCUCACUCUGUUGCCCAGGCUGGAAUGCAGUGGCACAAUCUCGGCUCGGGGCACAAGAAUAGGGUCUGGAAGCAGGGAACCUACGGCUGUUUCACGCUGACUUCCUAGAACUAAAUUGAAAGGAAAACCCUAACUUUCCACCCGUAAGUAACGAAAUGACCAAAGACUACUCCCUUUGCAAACACCCACCUUUUGGCAGAUGGGAAAUUGAAAGUUUGCAUAGGAGUGCAACUUUGUAACCUCACUUCAGCCUCUGAUUGGCUGCUUUCUUCAACCAAUCAGACUGAUUGUGGGCCACUACUUCAUUUACAUGAGGUGAACACCAAGUUGCCAAUGGGAAACCUCUAAGGGGGAUUUGGAUCCAAGAAGAUUCUGGAACUGGGCCCUUGAGCAGCUGUUCAGGCUUGCUCCCACCCUGUGGAGUGUACUUCCAUUUUCAAUAGAUUUUUGCUUUUGUUGCUUCA